UUUCCGUAGGUGAACCUGCGGAAGGAUCAUUAUUGUAUAACCGAGGUGCGAGGGCUGUCGCUGACCCGUAAGGUCGUGCACGCCCGAGUACCCUCACACACAUCCAUCUCACCCCUAUGUGCACCACCGCGUGGGUCCCCCUUUGGCUUGUUCGGAGGGGGGCUUACGUUUUCACACAAACUUUGUAUGCAGUGUAGAAUGUAUUUUUUGUUUUUGCGAUCACGCAAUCAAUACAACUUUCAACAACGGAUCUCUUGGCUCUC
rnacentral:misc_RNA from 1 species